rnacentral:rRNA from 1 species
UACGUAGGCAGCAAGCGUUGUUCGGAAUUACUGGGCGUAAAGAGUGUGUAGGCGGUGCUCUAAGUCUGUUGUGAAAUCUCCCGGCUCAACUGGGAGGGUGCGCCGGAAACUGGGGUGCUGGAGCGCGGGAGAGGAAAGCGGAAUUCCUGGUGUAGCGGUGAAAUGCGUAGAUAUCAGGAGGAACACCGGCGGUGUAGACGGCUUUCUGGACCGUAGCUGACGCUGAGACACGAAAGCGUGGGUAGCAAACAGG